rnacentral:lncRNA from 1 species
UUAUGAAUGAAAUGACAUUUGCGAUUCUGUAUCUAAUGAGAUGAUAUCCUUGAAUCUCUUGGAUUCUGUCUUGCAUUGUGAUAUCUUGUUUGUUUGAAACUGUCCCUUCUCAUGCUAUAUAUGCUUUGUUAUUUGCUGAGCUGUUUCUAGCUCACUCCGUUGUUAUAUAAAUCUUUCAGGUUAGCUUGUCACUCUUUGAGAUGUUUGAAUUGGGCUGAGGCAGUGGAGAGUUAUUCUGAAUUAUGAGCAAGUCUUGUUGGUUAUUAUGUUAUUGUUGUAUAAGCAUAUUUUGUAUGAAAUGAAAUGUUGUCGAUGAAUCGAAAUGGAUAUACUGUGUAAAAGUGUUAGAAGAUCUCUCUUAUAUGGAAUUUCAGAAUGUUAAGUCUAAUUUAUGAUGAUAUGAACUUGUGGUGAAUAGUUGGAGUUAUGAUUGUAUAAUUUAUUUAGCUUAUGGAUUUAUAAAUGUUGUUCAUGUUUGUCAAGUUGGCUUGGGUUGCCAUAAAUGUGAAUUAUCGAGUGAUGUGAUAUAUGAUUAUAAAC